rnacentral:lncRNA from 1 species
UUAGAUCAAGAAGAUUGAGAUUGGCGCUAAUGUCGUUGAUAACUUCAAGGGCUUAAAACAAGGGUAAAGUGGGGCACGUGGCACGCGGAGAGUGGGGCAGAGCAGUAUACGUGUGAAUGUUAACUAGAAGUGGCAGAUAGCGAGGAAAUGACCGAGUCAGACGCCAACAUAAGCGUCAAAUUAGAAGUGCGUGUGGGCCGCUUAAUACAAAUGUGGCUCAUGGAGAUGUCAAUCAGGUGCAGGAAAACCUCAUGAUUGAGGCCGCCCGGUGAUGUCUUAUCGUGUCAAUAUUCUACGGUGAGAGAGACUCGAGCACUCAUGGAAUCGUCUUAGCGUCUCUCUCACCAUGGUAAGUCCAAUACGUGAGGUUUCUGUCAAUUCAAGAGUUAGAUGCAUUAAAUUAAUGUGUGUACACAGAGAACUUGGAUGACGGAGAUAGCAAAAGAACAAUCUUAGACAGGUAAUCAACAGUUGUUCAACUACGGCUUCGACUUGUAUCAGAGAAUUGCGACUGGGGUGUUCGACACAAUGACCUCAGAAGUAAGAAGAGUCUAAGGCUGCGUGCCGGCCAUGGAUGGUUGCUGCAGCAUCAGGUCACCCACAUGGAUUGUGCUUGCUGGCUUCGUUCAGCUGCUAUUAAUUUCUCCCAUUUAUGAAGCACAUCGCCCCUUCCCUCCGUCCAAGGGAAUGCAGGGAACAGGCAUUUGGUCGGCCAGUUUAUUACAUUGCAUCCGUAUGAUGCUGUCAAAUUGGCAGAAAACAGAUGUCAAAACAAAGACCUUUAUUUGAUUAAAUAUAUAAGUAAGAGAGAGAGAGAGAGAGAGAGAGAGAGAGAGAGAGAGAGAGAGAGAG